GGUGGCUCAGUGGUAGAGUGCUUGCCUCACAUGCAUGAGAACCUGGGUUCAAUUCCUCAGCACCA
rnacentral:tRNA from 1 species